rnacentral:rRNA from 1 species
GCCGUCGUUCAUACUGCGUCUAAUGCACCGGAUCCCAUCUGAACUCCGAAGUUAAGCGGCGCAAGGCCCGGUUAGUACUGCGGUAGGGGACUCCG